GUGGUUGUAGCAGCAUUACUUUGCAGUGAGGUGGAAAAAACACAAGGUUCAACUGACAACAAAGUGGUUGGAUAGACACUGUCAGCACAAGUUGUCUAUUCAAGGGUGAAAGGUAUUCAGGAGGGAGAGGACAACGUCUCCCCGCUGGACAAUUUACUGCCCUUCUCUGGGAAUUCUACAUGAUCCAGUGGGCAGAAGAAGAUCAAUGGACUUUUACACUUUAUUGUGGCCAUCUUUGAUAUUCCUUAUAGAGCAUGACAGAAUUCCCCGAAGCGUGACCUGUCAGUUACUGCCGUCAAAAGAAUUCGCUCACAAACAAAAAUAAAGGAGCCGAGCAUUGGCGAAAGCAUGCACACUAUGCACGCAGUCAGCUGGACAAUUGCAAGAGCAUGCAUGUGCAUGCUUAAACUGUGGCUCAUGAUUUACACUCCCAAAUGACUCAUCAUGACAUUAAAUGAAAACGAGAGAGCGAUCAAAUUAUCUUUUAUCCGCCGGCUGCUGCCUGACAGGAUUGCAACUGUGUUUGAAAGUUAAAAAUUUUUUAAAAAGCGGAAAGCCUCUAAGGCUGGGCUGAAGUUCAACGGUUUCAGGAUGUCUGCCAUGCUCCACCCGUGUACUAUGUAAAUCAGACAAAUGAGCAAGAUGCAUGAUGUAAUGAAGGAGAAGACUACAAUGUUUGGGUGUGUCAGAGCAUGGAAAGUUUAAACCAAUGAGGUACCUCGAAGACAAAGAGAGGCAUGAAGUCACCUUUGGAGAGCCCUUUUUUUGAUAGGCAUGAGAAUUUUUAAAAAACUAUUCAGUGCACUUCUGUGAAUUGACGUAUUAUUGAAAUCACUCAUACUGAGUACGUUUCACUUCAAGUUUC
ensembl:lncRNA